UACGUAGGGGGGCAAGCGUUGUCCGGAAUCAUUGGGCGUAAAGCGCGUGUAGGCGGCCUUGUAAGUCCGUUCUGAAAGCCCGGGGCUCAACCCCGGGAGGCGGAUGGAUACUGCAAGGCUCGAGUACGGAAGAGGCGAGUGGAAUUCCCGGUGUAGCGGUGAAAUGCGCAGAUAUCGGGAGGAACACCAAUGGCGAAGGCAGCUCGCCGUGGCGUUACGUGACGCUGAGACGCGAAAGCGUGGGGAGCAAACAGGG
rnacentral:rRNA from 1 species